CAAGUCUUGACAUCCUGUUGAAGAGAGGGUAAUGUCUCUGUCUCUUCGGAGCAAGGGAGACAGGUGGUGCAUGGUUGUCGUCAGCUCGUGUCGUGAGAUGUUGGGUUAAGUCCCGCAACGAGCGCAACCCCUAUCUUUAGUAGCCAGCAAGUAAAGUUGGGCACUCUAGAGAGACUGCCGGGGAUAACCCGGAGGAAGGUGGGGAUGACGUCAAAUCAUCAUGCCCCUUAUGAUUUGGGCUACACACGUGCUACAAUGGCGUAAACAAAGGGAAGCAACCCUGUGAAGGUGAGCAAAUCCCAAAAAUAACGUCCCAGUUCGGAUUGUAGUCUGCAACCCGACUACAUGAAGCUGGAAUCGCUAGUAAUCGCGGAUCAGAAUGCCGCGGUGAAUACGUUCCC
rnacentral:rRNA from 1 species